CUCACUCACUGCAGUGCUGGCUGUGCGAAUCCGAUCCGAGCCGCUGGGUCGCCGCCCACUGUGGAGGGGGUGGGUGCCAGGCGUGCGGUGCGGAGAGAGAGCGAGGGACUAUCUGGGGGAGGGACAGUGCAGCGGCUGCCCAGCGCAGCGCUGAGCGCGGGAGAGAACCACACCAGACCAGACCAGGCAGCAGCAAGAAGAAGCUGGCAGCGGUGGCAGGUUAGGGGUUAGGGGGCGCAAAUUACUUGCCUUGCCCCGGG